rnacentral:rRNA from 1 species
GACGAACGCUGGCGGCGCGCCUAACACAUGCAAGUCGAACGGAGCUGAGAGAAGCUUGCUUUUCUUAGCUUAGUGGCGAACGGGUGAGUAACGCGUGAGUAACCUGCCCUGGAGUGGGGGACAACAGUUGGAAACGACUGCUAAUACCGCAUAAGCCCACGAUCCGGCAUCGGAUUGAGGGAAAAGGAUUUAUUCGCUUCAGGAUGGACUCGCGUCCAAUUAGCUAGUUGGUGAGGUAACGGCCCACCAAGGCGACGAUUGGUAGCCGGACUGAGAGGUUGAACGGCCACAUUGGGACUGAGACACGGCCCAGACUCCUACGGGAGGCAGCAGUGGUGGAUAUUGCACAAUGGGGGAAACCCUGAUGCAGCGACGCCGCGUGGAGGAAGAAGGUUUUCGGAUUGUAAACUCCUGUCGUUAGGGACGAUAAUGACGGUACCUAACAAGAAAGCACCGGCUAACUACGUG